UAAGGAAUAUUGGUCAAUGGACGAAAGUCUGAACCAGCCAUGCCGCGUGGAGGAUGAAGGCCCUCUGGGUUGUAAACUUCUUUUAUAGGGGACGAAAAAGGGUCUUUCUAGAUCAACUGACGGUACCCUAGGAAUAAGCACCGGCUAACUCCGUGCCAGCAGCCGCGGUAAUACGGAGGGUGCAAGCGUUAUCCGGAUUCACUGGGUUUAAAGGGUGCGUAGGUGGGUCUGUAAGUCAGUGGUGAAAUCUUCGAGCUUAACUCGGAAACUGCCAUUGAUACUAUAGGUCUUGAAUCAUCUGGAGGUGAGCGGAAUAUGUCAUGUAGCGGUGAAAUGCUUAGAUAUGACAUAGAACACCGAUUGCGAAGGCAGCUCACUACGGAUGUAUUGACACUGAGGCACGAAAGCGUGGGGAUCAAACA
rnacentral:rRNA from 1 species